UGGCUGUAGCAAUAGAUUUUUAUCUGAGAAGUUAACUGGCCGGUUGCUGCGAUCAAUCAGCAUAUCUGCUUACCGAACUACUAACAUAU